CUACCACUGAGGAGUCCCACAAUAGGACGAAACGGUUGUCCAGUGC
rnacentral:hammerhead_ribozyme from 1 species